rnacentral:rRNA from 1 species
GAUGAACGCUAGCGGCAGGCUUAAUACAUGCAAGUCGAGGGGUAGCAAGAUUGUAGCAAUACAAUUGUUGACGACCGGCAAACGGGUGCGGAACACGUACACAACCUUCCUACAAGUGGGGAAUAGCCCAGAGAAAUUUGGAUUAAUACCCCGUAACAUAGCGAUGUGGCAUCACAUUGCUAUUAUAGCUUCGGCGCUUGUUGAUGGGUGUGCGGCUGAUUAGAUAGUUGGCGGGGUAACGGCCCACCAAGUCUACGAUCAGUAGCUGAUGUGGGAGCAUGAUCAGCCACACGGGCACUGAGACACGGGCCCGACUCCUACGGGAGGCAGCAGUAAGGAAUAUUGGACAAUGGACGCAAGUCUGAUCCAGCCAUGCCGCGUGAAGGAUUAAGGUCCCCUGGAUUGUAAACUUCUUUUAUAAGGGACGAAAAAAGGUCUUUCUAGAUCGUCUGACGGUACCUUAUGAAUAAGCACCGGCUAACUCCGUGCCAGCCGCCGCGGUAACAC